UACGUAGGGGGCAAGCGUUGUCCGGAUUUAUUGGGCGUAAAGAGCGUGUAGGCGGUUCGGUAGGUCCGUUGUGAAAACUCGAGGCUCAACCUCGAGACGCCGAUGGAAACCCCCGAACUAGAGUCCGGAAGAGGAGAGUGGAAUUCCUGGUGUAGCGGUGAAAUGCGCAGGUAUCAGGAGGAACACCGGUGGCGAAGGCGGAUCUCUGGGCCUUACCUGACGCUCAGGCGCGAAAGCGUGGGGAGCAAACAGG
rnacentral:rRNA from 1 species